AAAACCCAAACAUGAUAAAACUAAAAACUUACACAUAUCAUUACAUAUAAUAAGACUCCAAACUAGAUAUUCAAAGUCUUAGCUUUUUUUUUUUUUUAACUGUAUGUCUGAAAGGGAUUUUCCAAAUAAAAGUUUACCGCUUAUUCUUCGGAAGCUCAAAAUUCAAAUCCAAAUGAAUUUUACCGAUAAAUUUUUUUUUACCACCGAACCAAACACGAGAUUUAAGCUAGAAAAUUCGAAAGUUUGGUAGCAGUAGGACGGGCUCUCUCGUCCGUGCAAUGCCGACCGACCGACCGACCUAACAACCUUCAACUUCAACGGACCUCUGAUUUCUAAUCUCGACAAAAGAAACAUCAAUGUUCUGUCGAGUGCGUGAGCGAAUGAAAGCCCCCUUUUUUUCACUUACGUGGGCCGCCGAAAACCUGUGCAAAAUGACGACAAGGCCACCACGUGGGGGGGGGGGGAGAGAAUAGAGAUUGUUGGUUAGACGAGUAUUGAAGGGCCUUGUGGGGAACUCUGCUUCAGUUGCCGCUGAUUCCCUGUAUCUGGUUCCUUCUCUCUACACGUUUUUUCUACGGUUUCGC
rnacentral:lncRNA from 1 species